rnacentral:pre_miRNA from 1 species
CCGAGAGAAAUUUUUUAUUGUGAUUGGAACAAGAGUGCUACAUCAUGUAUUUUUAUAUAAGUGAUAGAAAAUUUUAAUAAUACACAUAUCUCACCAUUUGUAUAGUUACAUGUGGUGUACCAUCCUGUGUUUCGGUCACACUGAAAAGUUUCUCUAU